UGAUCCUGGCUCAGAACGAACGCUGGCGGCAGGCCUAACACAUGCAAAGUCGAGCGCUUCACUUCGGUGAGGAGCGGCGGACGGGUUAGUAACGCGUGGGAAUAUACCCUUUACUACGGAAUAGCCUCGGGAAACUGAGGGUAAUACCGUAUACGCCCUUCGGGGGAAAGAUUUAUCGGUAAAGGAUUAGCCCGCGUAAGAUUAGAUAGUUGGUGGGGUAAUGGCCUACCAAGUCUACGAUCUUUAGCUGGUUUGAGAGGAUGAUCAGCAACACUGGGACUGAGACACGGCCCAGACUCCUACGGGAGGCAGCAGUGGGGAAUCUUAGACAAUGGGCGCAAGCCUGAUCUAGCCAUGCCGCGUGAGUGACGAAGGCCUUAGGGUCGUAAAGCUCUUUCGCCAGAGAUGAUAAUGACAGUAUCUGGUAAAGAAACCCCGGCUAACUCCGUGCCAGCAGCCGCGGUAAUACGGAGGGGGUUAGCGUUGUUCGGAAUUACUGGGCGUAAAGCGUACGUAGGCGGAUUGGAAAGUAGGGGGUGAAAUCCCAGGGCUCAACCCUGGAACUGCCUCCUAAACUAACAGUCUAGAGUUCGAGAGAGGUGAGUGGAAUUCCAAGUGUAGAGGUGAAAUUCGUAGAUAUUUGGAGGAGCACCAGUGGCGAAGGCGGCUCACUGGCUCGAUACUGACGCUGAGGUACGAAAGUGUGGGGAGCAAACAGGAUUAGAUACCCUGGUAG
rnacentral:rRNA from 1 species